GACAAAAUGCUUUGAUUUCAGUUUAGCAAGCCUGAAACGGAAUAGUCAGCUCUCAGUUAACUGCGGGUGGAUUAUCUGUGUUGAAAAGGGACCUUUUUUAACAUUGUAUCGUACCAACACUGGGGUCUGGAAAUGAAGUUUGUGGCUUUUACUUGGCUGCAGAGAAGCCUUGCUGCCAUGAAAUAUAUUGGUGUACUUUAAUUGCAAAAUUGUUCAGUCUAUCUUCUGAUAACCUACAAUUGUAAUGCUUUUUGCAGCACUGCUAAGCCUCGCAGUAUCUGUUUCCUCCUUUUUAAAGCACCGCCUAUGGAAAUCAAGUGACUGAGAGAAUUUUAGCUCCUCUUAGGAAGCGUAAAUAAGCCCUACAGAACGGAAGAGGAACUCUGAAACAGGAACUUAAACAUUCAUGCCAGAAGGAAGCAGAUGGAGACGGAGGAGAAGGCUUCCUGGAAAGGGCUGCCUGGAGGCUCACCUGUGCUGCAAGAGGUGGAAGGGCUGCAUCCUCUCUGGAGCCAAAGCGUUUCUCUCCCUUGGAUGGAGCUGCCAGAGGCUUCAUGGCAUUCCUUGGACACCAGAAAUUGGGCAUCAGGUAACAUCUCUGGAAUGACAUCUACAGUGAAAAAAAAAAAAGAUUUUUAAGCUUUUGUUGUAAAGGACUGCCUGACAGGAUGGGGAAGUGGGGACAUCCAGAAGUUUGAAAUGGCAGCUUAUAUAAUGUGAGUAUGUGACCAUUUCCAGGAGCAGCAGAGUAGAGAUGGUACUGGAGCUACAGGCAUCUUCUUAUGAAAGCCGUCCUGGAGAUGCAUUUGCCCCUGCUAACCCUUCAUAGUGAAGUUCAAGUGGAAAACAGCAGAAAGGGAGAGGAGCGUUUGCCCUCUGGACAUCCACAACACUGAAGCAAAAACAUGAAACAAAGGAAUUUUGCCUGAGAUGUGGUGAAUUUGGCAUUUUAUUUGCUACUUGUGUACUUUACAAUUCUUACGUUUUCUCAAACGAAUUCCAUGUUUCUUCACUCCAUGACAGCAGAUUUGUAUACCCACCUCAAGAAAGGAAGUGCUGCCUCAGCAGGACGUAAAGGAAUAUGUAACCUUCUCAAGAUUUGUUGUGUGGGUUCAAGCUUGUGCGGCUGAUAAUUUUAAAAGGAACAUUUAAUAACUGAAGCCAACUCCUGCAGCCAACAGCACCUUGCAGAAUGAUCAUGCAUGUGUUAUUAGAGAGCACUUGUACUAGGGAGCACAUGCAGACACCAGUGAGGUUGGGCCCCUUGGUGGGGGCUACAUGGGACUGGGGACCCCUGUCCCUCAGGCCUGGAAAACUGAAAAGCAGGACAGAAGAGUAAGACAAAUGGGGCAUGGUAGGGAGGGAAGGUAACUGAAAUAGGAAGUUUUAAUACUAGGGAAUUAAAUUCAUUGAGAACCUGUUUCAGAGAGGUUGGACUGAUUUCUAGAAUCAUGCUGAAUUUGACAAGUAGUUUGGAAGACAGACAACAGGGUGGUAUUUUGAAACACCAGACCUUUUCCCCUGGAUAGCUGCAAGUGGAAGGUUUUGGCUUUUCAUGUUCAUUUAAAACAGGCAUGAUAAAAAGCCAUAUUUGCAGGGGCUAAAGAACAUGAAAACCAAAGGAAACCUUGGAUUUUGGACUGAGUGAAAAGGAGUUUCUGCCCCGCCAUUUGCGAAAACAUUUUUUUUCAGUCUGAAACUACCUCUCCCCGUCUUUCUUUGCCCCCUGAUUUCCCAGUGGCCCACUCACCGACCCCUCUUCCUCCUCUCCACAGCCUCUUGGCUCCACUUAGCACAGGCUGGUGAUGGCACUUUCACGCACAGAGGAGGGGCAGCAGUCACAGGUUGGUGUGAACAGUGUGCUUCAUGCCUACCUCCAGAUGUCUAAAAGCUAGGCAUGUAGCAUGAGCUCAUCGCUCUAGACUCCUUCUGCGGCCCCUAAAGAGAGACAAACUUCUCCAGGGAGUGUUUCCUCCUCCCUCUCCUUGAAACUCCCUCUGGUCAUGAUGGGGAACCCUCUGGACAUGCCACAUGUCCCCAUGGGCUACAGAGGGGAGCGUAGAGGCCUUUGGGAGGCUACAGUCAGAUGGUGCAUCCCUCCCUGGAUUAAGACUGCUGAAGUGGCAGUAGGCAGGAGAUAAGAUGCCUGAAGGGAAGAAAACUGAGGAAAAGUGAAGUGAUGGAUUAACAGAGCUUUUACUCAUGGUGUUCAUGUGCUUUUGGAGCACAGUGACUGAAGCUGAUUUUGCUGGUACAAUUUUGAGGUUUAGGGGUGUCACCAAGGAAGAUAGAUCAGAGGGGUGAGCCUAGGGCUGGGCUGGGGAGAUGCUGAGAGCAUAGGUGGAGGCCGUAUGAACAGCAAGAGGCUCCAAGGCUGAGGGGCUUUUUUACUUUUACUAUUCAUUUCUCAGUUUUCAAUCCUUGCUCAGGAAAAAAAAGCAGCCAUGGGAUUCAACUUAAUAAGACUCAUUGGGCACUUUGUAUUAGUAAAGGAUUAAAGCUUUUUCACCAGGCAGACUGCAGUGGGCAGAUAAGAGCCUGGCUCAGGAGGUGACGGUGCCCUCUUCUUAAAGUAAAAGGCCAGAGCUUUGCAGAUCUCUGAGCACUUUGUUCCCACUGCAGGUGCAUUGACCCAUCACUCACAGUCCAACACCAGCCAUUAGUCUUCUGACUUGUGCACCGACUGUGGGCAAAGGAACUGUGCUAAGGAUCGGGCUGGGAUGUAAAAGCUUAACAGCUUCCCCCCAGACCUAUGGCUGAAGAAUUUAGCCGUAGGUAAUUUAGUUUAGUUGUGGAAAUCCAGAACUAGGAAAGUCUAAAGUCCAGCUGUUCCCUUUCUUUAGCCUGGGAGUCAUGUGCUACGUUUUGUAGGGUUGAGGGGAAAAUUUCACCUGGGUGCCUAUCCCCUGCCUUGCCAAUAUACCUUUCUUUCAUUUGUGGGUGAUUUGGAAGUGGAGAUUUACUUUACUUCCAGUCCAAGAGGAAAGCAGUAUAGAGAUAAAUGAGCUCUGUAGCCUUGUAAUAAUAAUAAACUAGAAACUCCCCCCGCCA
ensembl:lncRNA